rnacentral:misc_RNA from 1 species
AACGCACCUUGCACUCUUUGGUAUUCCGAAGAGUAUGUCUGUUUGAGUGUCGUGAAACUCUCAACCCCCCUGUUUUGUAAUGAAACAGGCGUCUGGGCUUGGAUUGUGGCCGUCUGGCGGAUCUUUCAUUAGAACCGGCUCGGCUGAAAUACACGAGCUACCCAUCUUUGAAUAAUCGACGGCUUGACUCGGCGUAAUACUAUGUUUCGCUGAGGACGUCUCCCUUUCAAAACCAGUGGUGCUUCUAGUGCAACUUUCAUUUGACCUUUAGACCUCAAAUCAGUCAGGACUACCCGCUGAACUUAA